CCUACGGGAGGCAGCAGUGAGGAAUAUUGGUCAAUGGACGCAAGUCUGAACCAGCCAUGCCGCGUGCAGGAAGACGGCUCUAUGAGUUGUAAACUGCUUUUGUACGAGGGUAAACGCAGAUACGCGUAUCUGUCUGAAAGUAUCGUACGAAUAAGGAUCGGCUAACUCCGUGCCAGCAGCCGCGGUAAUACGGAGGAUUCAAGCGUUAUCCGGAUUUAUUGGGUUUAAAGGGUGCGUAGGCGGUCGGAUAAGUUAGAGGUGAAAUCCCGAGGCUCAACUUCGGAAUUGCCUUUGAUACUGGUAGGCUAGAGAGUAGUUGCGGUAGGCGGAAUGUAUGGUGUAGCGGUGAAAUGCUUAGAGAUCAUAAAGAACACCGAUUGCGAAGGCAGCUUACCAAGCUACUUCUGACACUGAGGCACGAAAGCGUGGGGAGCAAACAGGAUUAGAUACCCUAGUAGUC
rnacentral:rRNA from 1 species